rnacentral:rRNA from 1 species
CGCGUAGGCGGUUUUUCAAGUCAGGCGUGAAAGCCCCGGGCUUAACCUGGGAAUUGCGCUUGAGACUGAGAGACUUGAGUUCGGGAGAGGUGAGUGGAAUUCCCAGUGUAGAGGUGAAAUUCGUAGAUAUUGGGAAGAACACCGGUGGCGAAGGCGGCUCACUGGACCGACACUGACGCUGAGGCGCGAAAGCGUGGGGAGCAAACAGGAUUAGAUACCCUGGUAGUCCACGCCGUAAACGAUGAGUGCUAGACGUUGGGGGGCUUGCUCUUCAGUGUCGCAGCUAACGCAUUAAGCACUCCGCCUGGGGAGUACGGCCGCAAGGUUAAA